UACGGAGGGUGCAAGCGUUGUUCGGAAUUAUUGGGCGUAAAGAGCGUGUAGGCGGUCGGGUAAGUCAGAUGUGAAAUACCUUGGCUUAACCAAGGAAGUGCAUUUGAAACUGUCCGGCUUGAGUACGGGAGGGGAAAGCGGAAUUCCCGGUGUAGAGGUGAAAUUCGUAGAUAUCGGGAGGAACACCGGUGGCGAAGGCGGCUUUCUGGACCGAAACUGACGCUGAGACGCGAAAGCGUGGGGAG
rnacentral:rRNA from 1 species